rnacentral:rRNA from 1 species
UACGUAGGGGGCUAGCGUUGUCCGGAAUCAUUGGGCGUAAAGAGCGUGUAGGCGGUUCGGUAAGUCCGCUGUGAAAGUCCAGGGCUCAACCCUGGAAUGCCGGUGGAUACUGUCGGGCUAGAGUCCGGAAGAGGCGAGUGGAAUUCCUGGUGUAGCGGUGAAAUGCGCAGAUAUCAGGAGGAACACCAAUGGCGAAGGCAGCUCGCUGGGACGGUACUGACGCUGAGACGCGAAAGCGUGGGGAGCGAACAGG